AACGAACGCUGGCGGCAUGCCUAACACAUGCAAGUCGAACGAGACCUUCGGGUCUAGUGGCGCACGGGUGCGUAACGCGUGGGAAUCUGCCCUUGGGUUCGGAAUAACAGUUAGAAAUGACUGCUAAUACCGGAUGAUGACGAAAGUCCAAAGAUUUAUCGCCCAAGGAUGAGCCCGCGUAGGAUUAGCUAGUUGGUGGGGUAAAGGCCUACCAAGGCGACGAUCCUUAGCUGGUCUGAGAGGAUGAUCAGCCACACUGGGACUGAGACACGGCCCAGACUCCUACGGGAGGCAGCAGUGGGGAAUAUUGGACAAUGGGCGAAAGCCUGAUCCAGCAAUGCCGCGUGAGUGAUGAAGGCCCUCGGGUCGUAAAGCUCUUUUACCCGGGAUGAUAAUGACAGUACCGGGAGAAUAAGCCCCGGCUAACUCCGUGCCAGCAGCCGCAGUAA
rnacentral:rRNA from 1 species